ensembl:snRNA U7 U7 small nuclear RNA
GAGUACUACAGCUCUUUUAGAAUUUGCCUAGCAGGUUUUCCCGUCUUUACUAGAAACCCCUC